UACGUAGGGUGCGAGCGUUGUCCGGAUUUAUUGGGCGUAAAGGGCUCGUAGGCGGCCUGUCGCGUCGGGAGUGAAAGCCCACUGCUUAACGGUGGGUCUGCUUCCGGUACGGGCGGGCUGGAGUAUGGCAGGGGAGACUGGAAUUCCUGGUGUAGCGGUGGAAUGCGCAGAUAUCAGGAGGAACACCGGUGGCGAAGGCGGGUCUCUGGGCCAUUACUGACGCUGAGGAGCGAAAGCGUGGGGAGCGAACAGG
rnacentral:rRNA from 2 species